rnacentral:rRNA from 1 species
AACGAACGCUGGCGGCAGGCCUAACACAUGCAAGUCGAGCGCCCUUUCGGGGGAGCGGCGGACGGGUGAGUAACGCGUGGGAAUAUGCCCUUCUCUACGGAAUAGCCUCGGGAAACUGAGAGUAAUACCGUAUACGCCCUGUGGGGGAAAGAUUUAUCGGGGAAGGAUUAGCCCGCGUUGGAUUAGGUAGUUGGUGGGGUAAUGGCCUACCAAGCCGACGAUCCAUAGCUGGUUUGAGAGGAUGAUCAGCCACACUGGGACUGAGACACGGCCCAGACUCUUCGGGAAGGCGGCAGUGGGAAACCUAGAACAAGGGGGCAACCCUGAUCUAGCCAUGCCGCGUGAGUGAUGAAGGCCUUAGGGUUGUAAAGCUCUUUCAGCUGGGAAGAUAAUGACGGUACCAGCAGAAGAAGCCCCGGCUAACUCCGUG